UACGUAGGGUGCGAGCGUUAAUCGGAAUUACUGGGCGUAAAGCGUGCGCAGGCGGUUUUGUAAGCCAGUCGUGAAAUCCCCGGGCUUAACCUGGGAAUGGCGAUUGGGACUGCAAGGCUGGAGUAUGGCAGAGGAGACUGGGAUUCCUGGUGUAGCAGUGAAAUGCGUAGAUAUCAGGAGGAAUACCGAUGGCGAAGGCAGGUCUCUGGGCUGAUACUGACGCUCAUGCACGAAAGCGUGGGGAGCAAACAGG
rnacentral:misc_RNA from 1 species